GGCUACGGCAUACAACCCUGAACACCCCGAUCUCGUCCGAUCCCGGAAGCUAAGCAGGGUCGGGCCUGGUUAGUACUUGGAUGGGAGACCCGCCUGGGAAAUACCAGGUGCUGUAAGCU
rnacentral:rRNA from 1 species